UAAAUUGCUGUCAUUGCUCAGUAGCCCCUCUCUGGGAAGUGCAGACACAAGGCGACAUAACCCCAAUCAGGACGACGCGGGCUCGGAACCCGAUGCUCUUACUCCCAGAGGAGACCGAAUGAUGAGUUCCUGUGUGAAGUGCAAAGAGGAGGUUGCUCGGGAAGAGCUCAUAGGACCCGCCUCAGUCAUUCCGCAUAAUCUGGGGCAUCAUCUCUGUUCCAGGGGUGAAGAGAGGCGCCCUCUCCCAGACCCCGCAGAGGGGACAAAAGGGGAAAGUGAUCAGGCAUUUAAAUGAGACCAGACAUCAAGUUUUUGCUUUUACCAGCCUCCUGAAUGCUUACGUGCGGGCCAGAUGCUCUCUGCUCACAGACAGCAAGCGGAGCUUGAUCUUGAAAGGUAUCUGUUUUUAGUUUGUGAAAUGGGGAUAUGGUCGUUCGAGGGAAACUUACUAAGUUUCAUCACCUCAGGCACCUUUUCUCUUUGGAGAUGACCAUCGCCAUUCUUUUGUGAGUACAUAGAAUGUGGCUGCUAAACUUGAAGCCCAUUAAGAACAGCCAGGCCAGGAGUUCCCGUGUUGCCGUGAGCUAUGGUGUAGGCUGGCAGCUACAGCUCCGAUUAGACCCCUAGCCUGGGAACCUCCAUAUGCCGCGGGAGCAGCCCAAGAAAUGGCAAAAAAACAAAUAAAAGAAAACAAAACAAAAAAACCCCAGCCAGGCCAGAGUUCCUGAUGUGGCACAGUGGGUUAAGGACGUGCCUACAGUGGCUCAGGUUGCUGCAGAGGCUCAGUUGAAUCCCUGGCCUGGUGCAGUGGGUUACAGGAUCUGGUGUUGCUACAGCUGUGGCUCGAAUUCAGUCCCUGGUCCAAGAACUUCCAUAUGCUGUGGAUGCAACCAUAAAAACCAAACUACAAAAAAACCCAACCAACCAAAGAAAAAAAGACAAAACAAUAGGCCAGGCCUUUGGGCAAAUGCAGGAUCACAGUGAAACUGAAAACACUUUUUUCUUUCUUUUUUUUUUUUUUUUUCGUCUUCUGUCUUUUUAGGGCCACACCCACUGUAGCCGCUGGCCUACACCCCAGCUCACGGCAACGCCGGAUCCUUAACUCACUGAGGAAGGCCAGGGAUGGAACCCAUAACCUCAUGGUUCCUAGUUGGAUUCUUUAACCACUGCGCCAUGACGGAACUCCUGGGAACACUGCUGACUUGAACCCAGCCAGAACCCAGAUUGGGACUUGAACCCACAGGCUUUUUAACUAGAAUCACCCACCUGGUCUCUGGCCUUACUGAGGUUCAGGGUUUUGUGUCUCUGCCUAGAAGGAGUUCAGUGAACGACAAAGUGAAAGGCAAGAAAUAAAUGUUAAGAUAGGACGCUUGUUGAGGAUACAAGCAGGCAGGGAUACAAGCUCUGCCCAGGGAUCCACUGGGCUGUAUUUUACAAUCCAAGGCAAGUGGGGAGGGGGGACGACUGCCUUCUCCUCGAUCUUUGAGUAGAAGUCAGGCUGGCACUGUUCGCUGCUGCUUCAUAUCCCGGAAGAGUAUUUGACCCUAUGAGGUUAAAGCAGGACUCUCAAGGUGCUUCUCGCAUCAGAAGGGUGGAAGUGUGUGCUAACUAUGUUGAGUCAUCUCAGGUUUCAGUAAAAUGAAGAUCUCCUAUUUCGGAAGAUCUUCUUUCCCUUAUCAUUCCUAUCCUUGGUCCUAAGGGUCAUUAUCUUGCUGAACUUGAAUGCAGGCUUUUCGUUUUAUCUUUCACUCAAUGACCUGAGGCAUAUCUCUUGCUUUGAUUAUGGUCAGGCACGCCUGCUUCAUUCCAGGAUGUUCAAUGGCUUUCCUGAGCGAGCAUUAACUUGCAGUGCUCUCCUGGGGUCCCCUAGGUUUUCCUCUCCAUCCAUGGCCCGCUAUGGGGACUUCGAGAGCUGCUUAUGUAACUGCCCUGCUCCAUCCCUGUCCAUUCCAAUCCAAUAGGAUUGACUCACCAGGCAGGUGGUGAGGCUGUUUCAGCAAUUGCCGCAGGAGUUGACAUG
rnacentral:lncRNA from 1 species